ensembl:lncRNA
AAUAACUUGUCUUUCCAAAUAAUCAAGUAAAAAUAAUUUAGUAUUAUCUGUAAAAUUGAACAUGCAUGUAACCUGUGACACAGUUCUCCUUCUGCUUAUGUUAGGAAAACUCUUGGAUGUGUGCACCAGGAGGUGUGUUCCAGAAUGUUUUGUAGAGAAGCAUUGUUUGUAACAGCAUAAACCUGAAACUACUCAAAUAUACAUUGGUAGAAGAAAGGAUGAAUAAGUUGUGGCAUAUUUAUACACUGAUGUAUAGCAUUGUAUAGCAUUGCAAAUGAAUGAUCUACAGCCACAUGCAUACUCUAGAAACAACAUUUAGCGAAAAAAUGUUUAGCGUUUCUUCACGGAAAAAGACACAUAAUACAGUACUAUUUUUUUUUUUUUUGUCUUUUCUUGUUGUUGUUGUUGUUGUUGUUGUUGUUGUUGCUAUUUCUUGGGCCGCUCCCCCGGCAUUAUUGUUGUUGUUGUUGCUAUUUCUUGGGCCGCUCUUGCGGCAUAUGGAGGUUCCCAGGCUAGGGGUUGAAUCGGAGCUGUAGCCACCGGCCUACACCAGAGCCACAGCAACGGCGGGAUCCGAGCCGCGUCUGCAGCCUACACCACAGCUCAUGGCAACGCCGGAUCUUUAACCCACUGAGCAAGGGCAGGGCCCGAACCCGCAACCUCAUGGGUCCUAGUCGGAUUCGUUAACCACUGUGCCAUGACGGGAGCUCCAUACAGUACUAUUUUUAAUGAAAGACUUCAAAACAAGUUAAAAACUAAACAUUGUUUAAUUAUACAUCAAUAUAGGUAAAAUGUUGAAGAGUUAGGGUAUGAUUAGGAAAAAUUGUAGGAUAGUGAUUUCCUAUGUAGGGCGUGGAGCAGAUGCUUGGGUUUGGGGAGAAACACACUGGAGCUUAAAGAUAAUCAUAAUAUUUACUUCUUAGGUUCAGAGAUGAGUUUAUCACACUCAUUUUGUUAUUGUGCUUUAUACAUGUAUUGUUUUACUCAUAUCAAACACUUCAUAACAAAAUUAAGAACUUUUAUAAACUUGUUAUAAAAAUACUUUUAUUUUUACAUAAAAAAAUUUCCUGUGAAUUUUACACAGGACAAAAUGCAGCGUUUCUAAAACUGAAAUAGUCACAUCUUUUAAAAUACAUUGUUCUCUCCAGAAUUCCCUCUUUAUUUGCUUCAUGCUACUUUCUCAGGCCCAAGUCUUAGGGCUCCCUUUUGACUUCUUUAUCCUCAGAUUAAUUUAAUAAUGCUAAGUGCUAGUAAUAUAGUAAGAAACAAAGCUUAUAAUAAGUAUUUUAUAAAUGAAUAAAUGAGCAAAGCAGUCUUUACCUUAUCUUUUCCUCACAUCAAGUCAUUCAACAAGUUCUUUUUAUUAUCAAUUAUGUCUAGGUUGUCUCUGCUUUUUGUUUGUAGGGUCUCUGACUGGAUUUCAGCCUGUGCUGUCUCCCACCUGGCUUUCCUGUCUGCAUUCUUCUCUCCACUUAGUUUUUCCUUAUUAUUGAUACAGGAUUAAUCUUCCUAAAACAUUGACUGUUUUACAUGGUUCCUCAGAACCUUUAAUAGUGAAUGAAGUGUUGAGGUGCAUAUUCUUUAGAUUGGGCACCAGACUUCUACAGUUUCAUUUUAACAAGGGACCCGUACUCGUUACUCCUUUUUUGGGGGAACAGAUAACCUGUCUUACUGGCAGCUUAUCCGUGGGGCAUGGGAAUGAGGUGUGGGGUGCCAUGCUGUUGAUAGCUUUCAGAUUCCCUCUAGCCUCAAAUAACAAAUAAUUGUGUUUAGACCACUCUCAGAGAGAAACUCUUAUAUUUUACAGCAAUUAUACUUAGAUUCUUCUUCUCUGCCUCUCUCUUUCUUUUAAACUCCAAUUAAGAUUAGUUUGUUUUCUGUCUUUCUGGUAUUCUUAAUCUUCUAGUUUUCUAGUCUGUUUAUGCUUGGAAUCAUUAGCAGUAGAAUCAUUAUCAUUUUAGUGUGCCACUGUCUUAGACAAGGUUCUCUGGAUGCCAGUAAUAGAAAGCUAUUCAAGAUUGCUUAGCUCAAGGGAGAGUUUUUAUUAAAAAGUAAAGAAAGGAUGGAUUAAAGACUUGAAUGUAAGACCUGAAACCAUAAAACUCCUACGAAAAAAACAUAGGAGGUGGUAAGCUCCUUGACAUUAGUCUUGGCAGUGGUUUUUGGAUUUCCACCAAAAGCAAAGGCAACAAAAGCUAAAAUAACAAGUGGGGCUCCUUCAGAUGAAAAAGCUUCUGCAUAUUGAAGGAAACCAUCAAAUAAUGAAAAGGUAACCUACUGAAUUGGAAAAAAUAUUUGCAAGUUAUAUAUUUGAUCAGGAGUUAAUAUCCAAAAUAUAUAAAGUUGUGCGUGUGUGUGUCUACAUAUAUAUGUAUGUAAGUAUAUAUAUGUAUACAUCUGUAUAUGAUAUCCAAAUUAUAUAAGCUGUUUGAGUAUAUAACUUAAUACCUAAAAAACAAUCCAGUUGGGAACUCUACCCAAUAUUCUGUGAUAAUCUGUGUGGGAAAAGAAUCUAAAAACGAAUAAAUGUGUGUAUAUGUAUAACUGAAUCAUUUUUUUUUUUGAGCAGCAGAAAUUGUCACAGCAUUGUAAAUCAACUAUACCUCAGUAAGACUUUAAAAAAUGAAAAAAACCUUGAAUAUACAUUUUUUUUAGAGAUGGCCAUAAGGAUGGCCAACAGGUACAUGAAAAGAUGCUCAAUAUCAUUCAUCAUCAGGGAAAAUGCAUAUCAAAAUCACAGUGAGAUAUCACCUCAAGUAAGUCAGAAAAAGACAAAUACUGACUGAUCUUACUUAUAUGUGGAAUCUUAAAACAAUUUCAUAGAUACAGAGAACAUAUUGGUGUUUUGCCACAGGUUGGGCUUGGGCAAAAUAGGUUAAGGGAGUCAAAAUGUAUAAACAUCUAGUUAUAAAGUAAAUAAAUCAUAGGGAUAUACAGCAUGACAGCUAUAGUUAUUAAUAAUGUAUUGCAAUUUGAAAGUUGCUAAGAGUAAAAUUUUAAAAGUUUUCAUGAGAAAAACAAUUUGUGACUAUAUCACAUGAUGAUAUUAACUAGACUUAUUGUGAUGAUCAUUUCACAAUAUAUACAAAUACUGAAUCAUUAUGUUGUACAUGCAAAACUGAUAUAAUGUGUGUUGGUUAUACCUCAAUUUAAAAAAAAAAGGCAACAAACGUUAUAGAACUGAUGAGCAGGAAGUAGAGUUGAUCUUUGCAGGGGGCUGGAAAUCAGAACUACAAAUUCUGGUCUAAAUUCUAUGGAUUUGAUAUGGGAUGGGGAGGUUAGAAGUUAGAGUCCACCAUAUUGAUUCAUUGUGAUUCCAGUUUAAGAGUCAAUUUGCUCAAUAGAUUCUUUUUACAGAAGGGAGUUUGGUAAUGGAUAUUUCCAUCAUGACUGCCCAGUUGUAUAUCUCUAGCUUACUUUUAUAUUUAGAGACACCAAUUUAGAAGUGCAGUAGUGAUGACAUCAGUUGAAAUAUUUCAAGUGAGUUAUUUAAAACUCUUUGAAUCUUGAAAGUUUGAAGAAAUGUGGACCCAGGAUCAUAAUUUUUAAGCUUCUAGGAAAAAUAAGUUUUAUAAAGUCAGAAUAAAAUCAGUAUACUAAUAAUAUUCAUCGGUGUCAAAAAAAAUCACCUAGCAGAAAAUGGCAAAGUAAAAUAAAGAGAAGGGAAUAUAAUGUAGGUCACCUCUCCCAUUUUAGCUUUGGGUUUUUAUAUUAUGAUUUCUUAGAAGUGGCCCAUAUGUACCACUUAUUCUUGAAGUUAAUAGAUAAAAUGGCAGUCUCCUUUUGGAAAAUUAAUUUAUUUUACUGGAAAAAUUUAAAUUGCUGUACAUUAUUAAGUUUUAACAAAGGAUAUUUGGAAACCAGAGGUAUUACAUGCUGAUGGGGAGUACAAAUUGAUGCAGCUAUUGGAGAGCAUUGAGCAGUAGCCAGUAAAAUGAAAAUGUACAUUUGACUCAGAAAUUUACUUUCAUAUAGACCUUAGAGCAGAGGUUCUCAACCAGGGCAAUUUUACUUCCCAAGGACAUUUGGCAAUGCCUGGAAAAGGUUUUGAUUGUCAUAUCUGAGGAAUAUUAUUGGCAUCUAGUGGAUGGAGAUUAGGGAUGCUUUAAACAUCCUAUAAUUCACAGGACAGACUCACAAUAAAGAAUUAUCUAGUCCAGGAGUUCCCGUCGUGGCGCAGUGGUUAACGAAUCCGACUAGGAACCAUGAGAUUGCGGGUUCAGUCCCUGCCCUUGCUCAGUGGGUUAACGAUCCGGCGUUGCCAUGAGCUGUGGUGUAGGUUGCAGACGCGGCUCGGAUCCCACGUUGCUGUGGCUCUGGCGUAGGCUGGUGGCUACAGCUCUGAUUUGACCCCUAGCCUGGGAACCUCCAUAUGCCUCUUGAGUGGCCCAAGAAAUAGCAACAACAACAACAAAA